rnacentral:rRNA from 1 species
UGGGGAAUAUUGGACAAUGGGCGAAAGCCUGAUCCAGCCAUGCCGCGUGUGUGAAGAAGGCCUUUUGGUUGUAAAGCACUUUAAGCGAGGAGGAGGCUACUUGGAUUAAUACUCUAGGAUAGUGGACGUUACUCGCAGAAUAAGCACCGGCUAACUCUGUGCCAGCAGCCGCGGUAAUACAGAGGGUGCGAGCGUUAAUCGGAUUUACUGGGCGUAAAGCGCGCGUAGGCGGCUUUUUAAGUCGGAUGUGAAAUCCCUGAGCUUAAAUUAGGAAUUGCAUUCGAUACUGGGACGCUAGAGUAUGGGAGAGGAUGGUAGAAUUCCAGGUGUAGCGGUGAAAUGCGUAGAGAUCUGGAGGAAUACCGAUGGCGAAGGCAGCCAUCUGGCCUAAUACUGACGCUGAGGUACGAAAGCAUGGGGAGCAAACAGG